rnacentral:rRNA from 1 species
AUGGGUAGUCUAACGGGGACGGUUUCCUCCAAUAAAGUAUCGGAGGACCUCAAAGGUAUGCUGAUGUUAGAUGGAAGCUAACAUGUCAUGAGGACAUACAAAAGCCCAUAGGUAUAUGCAUGCUUAACUGUAAGACCAAUAAGUCAAAGCAGAUACUUAAGUAGGACUAAGUGAUCCGCUAGUUCUAUAUGGAUAGGCUAUCGCUCAAGA